CCCGCCGAAUUUAAGCAUAUAAUUAGGCGGAGGAAAAGAAAUUAACAAAGAUUUCCUUAGUAACG
rnacentral:rRNA from 1 species